rnacentral:rRNA from 1 species
CCUACGGGAGGCAGCAGUGAGGAAUAUUGGUCAAUGGCCGCAGGGCUGAACCAGCCAAGUCGCGUGAGGGAUGACGGUCCUAUGGAUUGUAAACCUCUUUUGUCAGGGAGCAAAGGGCGCCACGUGUGGCGCUUUGCGAGUACCAGAAGAAAAAGCAUCGGCUAACUCCGUGCCAGCAGCCGCGGUAAUACGGAGGAUGCGAGCGUUAUCCGGAUUUAUUGGGUUUAAAGGGUGCGCAGGCGGAAUGUCAAGUCAGCGGUAAAAUUUCGGGGCUCAACCCCGUCGUGCCGUUGAAACUGGGGUUCUUGAGUGAGCGAGAAGUAGGCGGAAUGCGUGGUGUAGCGGUGAAAUGCAUAGAUAUCACGCAGAACUCCGAUUGCGAAGGCAGCAUACCGGCGCUCAACUGACGCUCAUGCACGAAAGCGUGGGUAUCGAACAGGAUUAGAUACCCUAGUAGUC